UGGGGAAUAUUGCACAAUGGGCGCAAGCCUGAUGCAGCCAUGCCGCGUGUAUGAAGAAGGCCUUCGGGUUGUAAAGUACUUUCAGCGGGGAGGAAGGCGAUAAGGUUAAUAACCUUGUCGAUUGACGUUACCCGCAGAAGAAGCACCGGCUAACUCCGUGCCAGCAGCCGCGGUAAUACGGAGGGUGCAAGCGUUAACCGGAAUUACUGGGCGUAAAGCGCACGCAGGCGGUCUGUCAAGUCGGAUGUGAAAUCCCCGGGCUCAACCUGGGAACUGCAUUCGAAACUGGCAGGCUAGAGUCUUGUAGAGGGGGGUAGAAUUCCAAGUGUAGCGGUGAAAUGCGUAGAGAUCUGGAGGAAUACCGGUGGCGAAGGCGGCCCCCUGGACAAAGACUGACGCUCAGGUGCGAAAGCGUGGGGAGCAAACA
rnacentral:rRNA from 1 species